CAAUAUAUCUCUUUUUUCUUCAUUUGUUGAGAAUAUCAAAAUCCCUAAAUUGAAGAACUAGUUCCGCGACAGCUGAGUACCAUUUGCUGAAAAAUGAGGCUUGUGGUUUGUUUAUUUGGGAAGAGAAAUUACUCAUUGUUAAUGAAAGAAAAUCAACUCACGAUGAUUGCAACGUGUGAAGUGAAGAAGCCUAUUUUGAAGAAAUUUGGGACUAAAUUUGGAAAAGAAUAUAUGGGUCAAAGAAGAUUAACAAAAUAAAGAAGUUGACAAGUGAAAGUAAUUUGGGAAUGAUUUUGGAAAAAAAGAAAUGGGUCAGAGAUUGAACAAAUUUGGGAUUAUUUUUAGUGUAGUUUACAAGCCAAUGUAACUUGUUUCAAUCCAAUGUAACUUGUUACUUAUUCAAUGAAUAUUAUGAAUUCUUUUCAAUCCAA